GACGAACCGUGCGAACGUUAUUCGGAAUCACUGGGCUUAAAGGGCGCGUAGGCGGGCCGAAAAGUCAGGGGUGAAAUCCUCCAGCCCAACUGGAGAAGCGCCUUUGGUACUGUCGGCCUCGAGGGGUGCAGGGGCAUGCGGAACUCAGGGUGGAGCGGUGAAAUGCGUAGAUAUCGAGAGGAACACCUGCGGCGAAGGCGGGUUGCUGGGCCGACACUGACGCUGAUGCGCGAAAGCCAGGGGAGCGAACGGG
rnacentral:rRNA from 1 species